UUCACUUGAAUAUUCAAGACUAGAGUUCCAAGGAGAGAGCUGAGAUAAAGAUAUAAAUAUAUGUUUACAUGUAUUUGGUAAUUAUUAAAAUUAUAAUCAUGAAUAAGUUUUCCUGAAAAUAUGUAGGGCAAGAAAAAAAAAGGAAGAAAAGCAGGCCUAGGAACUUUGAGUUCUUUGAAGAUUUCAACAUAAACAGUAAAGGAAGUCCUGCAGCAGAAACUAAUAACAGCAACAUCGCUAGAAAGAAAACGAGAAAACAGUGGUGAUAGAGAAGCUAAUGGCCAAUGGAGGGAGUCCCAAAGGGCAAAAACUUUUCCUUUUUGACUUCACUCUCUGAGAAGUGUGAGAUGGGAAAUGGAAAUCCUGUUUUCUUCUUUUCCCCGUAAGUAAUCAUUUGCUUUGACUAAAUUCCUCUCAGUAAUGCUGACAGGCAUGCUGCCAACAACAGAGCAUUCACUACUUAUUGCUGUUGAACCUGCCCUGCUGGACUCAAGGCUACUCACCAAAGGAGCAUAUUCUGAUCUCCUUCAUAGAGCAAGCCAAAGUGAAGUAUGAAAUGAUAGCUACCUACUGUUACUUUGGUUUGAUUCUAAGAAUUAUACAUGACCCAUCUUUAAUCUUCACUUUGUAUAAAAUUCCCCUUGCUCCUGAGGCCAACGAACUAGGAAGAUUGAAGCAAAAGUAAAGCCUGUAAAUAUUCAAGGCUAAUACUUUGUCAAAACAAGAUCACACCAUAAUGAGUGUUAUGCAUACAUUUAAGAAGACUCUCUUUUGUUCCCUUGUGCCUUUUGGGAAUUCAGUUCCAGAAAGUAGCUGUCAGCUAUCAGGUCAAAACUUCGGUUUAAGGAUGUUGGGCAGCUGCUACUGGAUGCAGAAGCAGAACAGAGAAGCUACAACUAGAAGAGUCAGGGACUUAGUGAAGCUGAACAAAAGACUAGGCAAUGGAUUCACAAUAGGGGAAAAAACAAAACAAAACAAAACACCAAACCAGGUAUCCAGAGGCAAAUAAAAAUUGAAGAACACCAUGAAAUAGCAGUUUGGAAUCAUGCUGGUGAGCAAAAGUUCCAGGCACAUGGAUCCUGGGAAUCGUAACUCCCAGGAUGGAGUGGACUCCUCAAAAUGUGGGACUCACAACAGUGAAGGAAGAAGAUUUUAGACUUUGCUUGGAGUCACUAUUUAAUAAAAAUUAAUUAAAAUGUGA